AGAGUUUGAUCCUGGCUCAGAGUGAACGCUGGCGGCGUGCCUAAUGCAUGCAAGUCGCGCGGUUCUGGAGUUUCGGCUUCAGAACAGCGGCGGACGGCUGAGGAACGCGUAGGGAACUUGCCCUCCGGUGGGGGACAACCCGCCGAAAGGCGGGCUAAUACCGCAUCCGCUCCUGGAGUUUAAGCCCCAGGAGGAAAGCCUUCGGGUGCCGGAGGAGAGUCCUGCGUCCCAUCAGGUAGUUGGUGGGGUAAUGGCCUACCAAGCCCAAGACGGGUAACCGAAGUGAGAGCUUGAUCGGUAAGAGGGGGACUGAGACACGGCCCCCACUCCUACGGGAGGCAGCAGCAGGGAAUCUUGCGCAAUGGACUGUAUGGUCUGACGCAGCGACACCGCGUGGAGGAUGAAUGCUUUUGGGUUGUAAACUCCUCUUCUUAGGGAAGAUGAUGACGGUACCUAAGGAAUAAGCAUCGGCUAACUACGUGCCAGCAGCCGCGGUAAUACGUAGGAUGCGAGCGUUGUCCGGAAUUAUUGGGCGUAAAGGGCGUCUAGGUGGAAUAAUAAGUCCUGUGUGAAAUCUCUUGGCUCAACCAAGAAAUGUCACAGGAAACUAUUAAUCUAGAGGUCAUCAGAGGUAAGUGGAAUUCACGGAGUAGUGGUGAAAUGCGUAGAUACCGUGAGGAACACCAGAGGCGAAAGCGACUUACUAGGAUGAACCUGACACUAAAGCGCGAAAGCGUGGGUAGCAAACCGGAUUAGAUACCCGGGUAGUCCACGCCAUAAACGAUGGAUACUAGUUAUGGGAGGCAUUGACUCAUCUGUAACGAAGCUAACGCGUUAAGUAUCCCGCCUGGGGAGUACGGCCGCAAGGUUAAAACUCAAAGAAAUUGACGGGGGCCCGCACAAGCAGCGGAGCGUGUGGUUUAAUUCGAUGAUAAGCGAAGAACCUUACCAAGGCUUGAAAUAUAUCUGACAGCUAGUGAAAGCUAGUCUCCUUCGGGCAGAUAUACAGAUGUUGCAUGGCUGUCGUCAGCUCGUGCCGUGAGGUGUUGGGUUAAGUCCCGCAACGAGCGCAACCCUCAUCGUUAGUUACUAUGUCUAGCGAGACUGCCUCUAAAAAAGAGGAGGAAGGUGGGGAUGACGUCAAGUCAGCAUGGCUCUUACGCCUUGGGCUACACACACGCUACAAUGGCCAGUACAAAGGGCUGCAAAGGAGCGAUCCGGAGCUAAUCCCAUAAAGCUGGCCCCAGUUGGAAUUGCAGGCUGCAACUCGCCUGCAUGAACGUGGAGUUGCUAGUAAACGCAGGUCAGCACACUGCGUUGAAUACGUUCCCGGGCCUUGUACACACCGCCCGUCAAGUCAUGGAAGUAGAAAACACCUGAAGUCGUUGGGCUAACCCUUUUGGGAAGCAGGCGCCGAAGGUGGGUUUUAUGACUGGGACUAAGUCGUAACAAGGUAACC
rnacentral:rRNA from 1 species